ACGUAGCACUGAACCGAAAGAACGGACCCUGAACUUCCACGCCUACGCAAACCCCUCUCUCAUGGGAGAGCCGCGUUAAGGAUGAACCCACACCUGACACCACGCGUCGACGUUGUGCAAAGCAUAUGUUAGCAUAUUCUUUGCAUUCUCCACUUUCUUUUAAUCAGCAUCUUCUUCAUCUCUCUCUUUUUUUCUUCUUUUCUUUCCUCUUUGGUCUCUUCUCGUUGCGUCUUUCUGCUUUGUCUUCGUUUGAAGCUACACCUCAAAAUUUCAGUCAAAUCUCUCUGGUUGGAAAAACCCAAUUAACAUAUUACCAGGAAUCUAGUGAAGAUGGUUCUCAUCAAGGAGUUUCGGAUUGUCAUGCCCAUAUCUCUCGAAGAGUAUGAGAUAGCACAGUCGUACAUGGUAUUGAAGAUGCAGCAAGAGAACACCACAAGUACUGAAGGGAUUGAAGUCUUAGAGAACAGACCCUUUGAAAAUGAUGCGUAUGGAAAGGGUCGCUACACUUCUAAAGUUUAUCGUCUGCAAAGCAAAGCUCCUGCUUGGCUCAAGAAAAUUGCACCAGCACAGGCUCUUGUCAUGCAAGAGGAAGCUUGGAAUGCAUACCCAAAAUGCAAAUCAGGUUUGCCAUGUCCUCUUGACUUCAGUCUUGUAUAAUAUGUUUUUGUCUUUUUUUAUUUUUUAUUUAUUAAAAUACUUAUAUUAAUGUCUUUUUGGUUUUAUCUGCAAAUGGAUGUCAUAUUACCCAGUACUCAAGUGCCCACACUUUUCCAAGUUUCAGUUAACCAUUGAAAGUGUUCACAGGGCUGACAAUGGGUGCUCAGAAAAUGUACAUGGUUUAAGCAAAAAGCAACUAGCAGCUAGGCAGGUGGAAUGUAUUGAUAUCAGUUCUCCAGGCAAGGAUGGUUGGAGUUACUUAGUUGGAAGAUGCAGCGUAGACUUUUCCAAUUUUAAAUCAGCAAGAACUGGCCGUGGUCCACUUCUGAAGGGGUGGCAGGAUAGCUGUAAGCCAGUUAUGACUGCAUACAAAUUGAUGACAAUUGAUGCACCAUACUGGGGUUUUGGUCGUCAACUUGAGCAGGCUAUGCUAGCGGGUGAAAGGGCUCUUUUUUUGGAAAGUCAUCGUCACUGUUUUGCUUGGAUUGAUAAAUGGUAUGGAAUGACGCUGCAACAAAUAUAUGAACUUGAGCAACAAAAUGACUCUAUGAUAGAUGAGAGACUCGCAAAGCCUACUCUAAUGAUCGGUAACGAACACUUUGAUGGGGCAUCACUUGAUAGUGAAGGCAUUUAUAGCAAGGUCUGACCAAAUCUCACCGCAAGUGUAAGCUACUUUUUAGGGGUGAUAUAUUUGCAACGUAAAUGUAACCAAAGAGUAUACCUAGACCAAACCGCAAAGCAGCAUAUACACUCCCCACAUUGUAUCUCUUCUGAUGUUGAAAAUAUUACUUCAAACCUUAAGGGAUAACAUUGUACUUGAAGACCACAACUGAAGCGCACGUUACUAGUUCGACUCUCCUUAGGUCCACUCACUCAAAAAAACAAGGGAAGAAAUAUUCAUUUGAUGUUCUGCCAUCAUUGGAAAUUGUAAAUGAAACAAAUAAGUUGUAUAUUACUUUCUGGCAUUAUUUGAGUUACUUAUAGCUCUCUUAGUCUUUC